GACGAACGCUGGCGGCGUGCUUAACACAUGCAAGUCGAACGAAGAGCGAUGGAAGCUUGCUUCUAUCAAUCUUAGUGGCGAACGGGUGAGUAACGCGUAAUCAACCUGCCCUUCAGAGGGGGACAACAGUUGGAAACGACUGCUAAUACCGCAUACGAUCUAAUCUCGGCAUCGAGGAUAGAUGAAAGGUGGCCUCUACAUGUAAGCUAUCACUGAAGGAGGGGAUUGCGUCUGAUUAGCUAGUUGGAGGGGUAACGGCCCACCAAGGCGAUGAUCAGUAGCCGGUCUGAGCGGAUGAACGGCCACAUUGGGACUGAGACACGGCCCAGACUCCUACGGGAGGCAGCAGUGGGGAAUCUUCCGCAAUGGACGAAAGUCUGACGGAGCAACGCCGCGUGAGUGAUGACGGCCUUCGGGUUGUAAAGCUCUGUUAAUCGGGACGAAAGGCCUUCUUGCGAAUAGUGAGAAGGAUUGACGGUACCGGAAUAGAAAGCCACGGCUAACUACGUG
rnacentral:rRNA from 1 species